UUUGUAACCCAAUUGUCGUUUGGGCCAUCCCAUCUUACAAAAUCCGGAUCCAGACCCGAAAAUCAAACAGAAAGCACUCCCAUAGUCAGAAACCGCGUACCUAAAAGCGUGCACUUCGAAUUUCUCCGUCCUCCUCUCUCGAACCCGAGCUUACUCUCUCCGCUCCGGUUCAGAGGAACCACCAACAGCAAUCAAAAUGUGUCGAUACCAAGAUUGGGAAGAUGACCUACCAGAUAGUGAAGUUCAUGAUGAAUAUCCUGGCAGAGAUGCAGUGACUGCUUUUAUACGCCAAAUUGAACUACAAAUGAAUGAAAUUAGGGGAUUUUUGGACAACAUGAAAGCUGAUAGUUCCAAAAAGCCAAACAAAUUUUGGUCCGGAUUCUUGUCAGGCGCCUGUUUCACCAUACUGCUCAACUAUGUGAUCAAGUACGUAACUAGUAACUAGUAACUAGUAACUAGUUAGGGUUGAUUUUGUAUAGCAAUUUGACAUCCCAGACCUUAUUCAGGUUCAGUGCACUUCUAAUGGCGUUUGUGUUCAUUUCUAUUCAUGUUGUGAAGAAAGAAACUCCUGUGGUUGUGGAUGUUUUGACUUGUACAAUUUAUUUGGCUGCUUUAUGGCACCUAUCUCCCCUUUAAUGAAAUUGUGAAGCAUGCCAUAUUA